rnacentral:lncRNA from 1 species
AUGAUCAAGCACACACGUUCUUCUUUGUUAUCAAGUAGUCCCUUCUCUUUCAUUUCCCUUCUACUUCUACCUUCUGCCCUGUCAGUACCGACCUAUCUGUGGUUCUUUAGCUAUUACCCCCAAAAUGGGUGGAUCAGUACUGCUCAUCCUUCAUAUGUCAGCAGCCGUGUCACACUGGUCUUCUGGGAAACCAAUGGAAUGGACCUUAUAGAAUAUGCAUUUUUUUUCCUUGAAUGAAAUAAUAUAUGUGAAGUACUUUGCAAACCAUCAGGCACUAUGGAAAUGGAAGCUGGAAUGAUUAUUACCUCCAGAGGUCUUCAGGGACGUAAACUAAAGAAAGCAUCAGGUCUCAGUGUCCUGGUUUUCUUGCUUUUUAUUGCAAUAAGAUGGACUAUUUCAUUAUACCUGGAGAUUAUUUUUUUGCUGCAA